ensembl:misc_RNA
UUCCUGGAGUUGGAGGUUUCUAUAGGCACUUUAUUUCUCCACUUUGAAAAUCUUGGGCUUGGCCCCAAUCUGGGGCUGCCCGGUCCUGUUUCGAUUACCAAUUUAAAUCUAUGGCUUGAACCUUUACGUUGAAAAAACCAUAUCCAU